rnacentral:rRNA from 1 species
UCCUACGGGACGCAGCAGUGGGGAAUAUUGCACAAUGGGGGAAACCCUGAUGCAGCGACGCCGCGUGAGCGAUGAAGUAUUUCGGUAUGUAAAGCUCUAUCAGCAGGGAAGAAAAUGACGGUACCUGACUAAGAAGCCCCGGCUAACUACGUGCCAGCAGCCGCGGUAAUACGUAGGGGGCAAGCGUUAUCCGGAUUUACUGGGUGUAAAGGGAGCGUAGACGGCAAUGCAAGCCAGAUGUGAAAGCCCGGGGCUCAACCCCGGGACUGCAUUUGGAACUGUGUAGCUGGAGUGUCGGAGAGGCA